rnacentral:rRNA from 1 species
UGGGGAAUAUUGCACAAUGGACGGAAGUUUGAUGCAGCGACGCCGCGUGGAGGGUGUAGGCCUUCGGGUUGUGAACUCCUUUUUCUCGCGAAAAAGGCACAGUUUUGGCUGUGUUGAUGGUAGUGGGGGAAGAAGCGCCGGCUAACUACGUGCCAGCAGCCGCGGUAAUACGUAGGGCGCGAGCGUUGUCCGGAUUUAUUGGGCGUAAAGAGCUCGUAGGUGGUUCGUCGCGUCUGUCGUGAAAGCCAGCAGCUUAACUGUUGGUCUGCGGUGGGUACGGGCGGGCUUGAGUGCGGUAGGGGGGACUGGAAUUCCUGGUGUAGCGGUGGAAUGCGCAGAUAUCAGGAGGACCACCGAUGGCGAAGGCAGGUCACUGGGCCGUUACUGACACUGAGGAGCGAAAGCGUGGGGAGCGAACAGG